CACAAGCGGUGGAGUAUGUGGUUUAAUUCGAUGCAACGCGAAGAACCUUACCAGGGUUUGACAUCCUGCGAAUCUCCUGGAAACGGGAGAGUGCCUUCGGGAACGCAGUGACAGGUGGUGCAUGGCUGUCGUCAGCUCGUGUCGUGAGAUGUUGGGUUAAGUCCCGCAACGAGCGCAACCCACGUCUUUAGUUGCCAGCAUUCAGUUGGGCACUCUAGAGAGACCGCCGGUGAUAAACCGGAGGAAGGUGUGGAUGACGUCAAGUCAUCAUGCCCCUUACAUCCUGGGCUACACACGUACUACAAUGCUACGGACAAAGGGCAGCAAACUCGCGAGAGCUAGCAAAUCCCAUAAACCGUGGCUCAGUUCAGAUCGUAGGCUGCAACUCGCCUACGUGAAGGAGGAAUCGCUAGUAAUCGCAGGUCAGCAUACUGCGGUGAAUACGUUCCCGGGCCUUGUACACACCGCCCGUCACACCAUGGAAGUUGGCCACGCCCGAAGCCGUUACUCCAACCCUUGUGGAGGAGGACGUCGAAGGUGGGGCUGAUGACUGGGGUGAAGUCGUAACAAGGUAACCAAGGGCGAA
rnacentral:rRNA from 1 species